GUUAAAGUUAUUUUGUUUUAUUUGUUUAUAGAAUGCUUUAGUUAAUUUUGUAUUUAUUUGUUCUUUUGUUUGGUCAGACAUCCCUCCUGUGGUAGAUUUGGGUUACUCCACCCCUAUUUAAGCAGUCUUUUGUUCUGUUUUGUCAG